rnacentral:rRNA from 1 species
GGCUCAGAUUGAACGCUGGCGGCAUGCUUUACACAUGCAAGUCGAACGGCAGCGCGGGGCAACCUGGCGGCGAGUGGCGAACGGGUGAGUAAUAUAUCGGAACGUACCCAGAAGUGGGGGAUAACGUAGCGAAAGUUACGCUAAUACCGCAUACGAUCUACGGAUGAAAGUGGGGGACCUUCGGGCCUCAUGCUUUUGGAGCGGCCGAUAUCUGAUUAGCUAGUUGGUAGGGUAAAGGCCUACCAAGGCGACGAUCAGUAGCUGGUCUGAGAGGACGACCAGCCACACUGGAACUGAGACACGGUCCAGACUCCUACGGGAGGCAGCAGUGGGGAAUUUUGGACAAUGGGCGCAAGCCUGAUCCAGCAAUGCCGCGUGAGUGAAGAAGGCCUUCGGGUUGUAAAGCUCUUUUGUCAGGGAAGAAACGGUUGG